rnacentral:rRNA from 1 species
UACGUAGGGCGCAAGCGUUGUCCGGAAUUAUUGGGCGUAAAGAGCUCGUAGGCGGCUUGUCACGUCGGGUGUGAAAGCUCGGGGCUUAACCCCGGGUCUGCAUUCGAUACGGGCUGGCUGGAGUGUGGUAGGGGAGAUCGGAAUUCCUGGUGUAGCGGUGAAAUGCGCAGAUAUCAGGAGGAACACCGGUGGCGAAGGCGGAUCUCUGGGCCAUUACUGACGCUGAGGAGCGAAAGCGUGGGGAGCAAACGGG